rnacentral:rRNA from 1 species
UUGUCAUGCCAAUGGCACUGCCCGGUAGCUAAAUGCGGAAGAGAUAAGUGCUGAAAGCAUCUAAGCACGAAACUUGCCCCGAGAUGAGUUCUCCCUGACUCCCUGAGAGUCCUGAAGGAACGUUGAAGACGACGACGUUGAUAGGCCGGGUGUGUAAGCGCAGCGAUGCGUUGAGCUAACCGGUACUAAUGAACCGUGAGGCUUAACCUU